rnacentral:rRNA from 1 species
GUCUACGGCGAUGCCACACUGAACAAGCCUGAUCCCGUCUGAUCUCGGAAGCUAAGCAGGGUUGAGCCUGGUUAGUACUUGGAUGGGAGAUCAUCCAGGAAGACAGGUGCUGUAGGCG